rnacentral:rRNA from 1 species
ACGGGGGGGGCAAGCGUUGUUCGGAAUUACUGGGCGUAAAGGGCGCGUAGGCGGGCGGGCAAGUCUCACGUGAAAGCCCACGGCUCAACCGUGGAAUUGCGGGAGAUACUGCCUGUCUUGAGUCCGGGAGAGGAGGGUGGAAUUCCCAGUGUAGCGGUGAAAUGCGUAGAUAUUGGGAGGAACACCGGUGACGAAGGCGGCUCUCUGGACCGGUACUGACGCUGAGGCGCGAAAGCUAGGGGAGCAAACGGGA